CCCCGCCGGCGACCGGCGCACGGGUGAGUAACACGUAUGAAACCUGCCCGUAGCAGGGGAUAAGCGGAAGAAAUUCCGUCUAAUACCGCGUAACAACCCAUGGAGGCAUCUCUGUGGGUUUAAAGGAAGCGAUUCCGGCUACGGAUGGUCAUGCGUCGCAUUAGCUUGUUGGCGGGGUAACGGCCCACCAAGGCGACGAUGCGUAGGGGUUCUGAGAGGAAGGUCCCCCACACUGGUACUGAGACACGGACCAGACUCCUACGGAAGGCAGCAG
rnacentral:rRNA from 1 species